GAGAGCAGCCUAAGGGGGUAGCUGGAGGCAGAUGAGGCUGGAAAGUGGGGCGCAACGUGUCAGGGCUUGGUCUUUAUCUCCUGAUUUCCUCUGCCCAGCGGUCACUUCAUCUGGGUUCUGCAUGAGGCCAACAGUCUUCCAGGUCAUGUAUCCAUCCCCGAGAUGGAGUCAGGAGUGACAGGCUUUGAGAGUGUCCAGCCUGAGCCAUGUCUGCUUUAGGAAGGCAAGGCUAGCCUUGUUCCCAGGAGAAAGCUGCACGGAUGCUGGGAGAAGUGGAGCGUCGGGGGACAGACAGCGUCCACUGCAGUAGGCAAAGGCGCACAAUUCCUACACCCUUGCAUCCCUAGGACUGGCCUUGGACAAACGGGACAGCCCAGGAACGGGUGUGGAGCUGUCUGUCCAACACUCACGAUAGGAGAUGCUGGGCCAGUCAGUUCCCAAGGGACAGGUGGGCAGUGUUCCUAGGGGCCUUGUGACACUGGGCUCCUGCUCCCCAGGAGGGACCAGACUCCACGACCACACCUGACUCAGGACCAGGCCGGCCAGAACCACCUCCGUCAUCAGCACAGGAAUUUCAACCUGAAGGGAUUCCUCCUGGGCCAGGUGAGCCCACCUCAGGCAACCUGCUGGCCCUGCUCCUAGGGGAUACCUGUACUGACGCUGAGCAUGGGGACAGCAGCCAGGAGGCACUGAGCACCACCACGGGAGGCCCCUGACACGUGGGUCCCCUGCGUAGCUGGGACGAGUGUGUCCGGCUCGGGCUCUGAGUGGGGUUUUCACCUGCAAACGUUUGUACACGUUCACCUCCAAGACCGCAAUCAACCAAAUAUGAGCGAUGGCUGCGGCGUGCGCGGGGCCUUUGUUCCUUAAGCAACAGAAGUUUGGGGGAAUCUGCAGAGACCGUCGAUAAUGUUUUGAAACUCAUUUCAAUUCUGAGAAGUAAUUUCCCAGUUUAUCCCCUGGGAAGGCACCUGUGGCGUUGGGCGGCUUUGUGGCCCAUACGGGGCCCGAGGGACCAUUUCCUGUUUUUAAUAGAAGAGUGAAACAGCUCAUUCAUUCAUCUUUCAUCUGACAAAUAUUUUUGGAGCGUUGUCUGUGUGUCAGGCCGAAUUGGGGGCUUGUAAUGUGGGGAACGAACGGAGUCCACUCAGCUCCUGGCUGGUCCCUCACGGGAGCCAGGGAGAAAGGGGGGCAUGAAACUCCUCAUUUCACAAUUAUUCACGCAAUUGUCACAGGAAUAGAGGUUACGUAGGAAAGAAUUCAAAUGUCAGCCGAUGCAGAGUUUAGAGUAAAUCUAAGUUAAUUUAGCAGAGAGUAAGUAAGGAAAGAAAGGCCACCCACAGACAGAGAGGUGGUCUCUAAUCGUUAGUGGAAGAGGGGGCCCCCUCCAUCCACCAGGCUGGGGUGUUUGUGUGUUUUCCGCUUCCG